GGCUCCGUGAGGAUCCGGAGUUCAGGAGCGCUCUGGAUGCUCUGAGCUCCUGGGGCUGGUUCUGGAGCCAGCAGGGGCUG